rnacentral:rRNA from 1 species
AACGAACGCUGGCGGCAGGCUUAACACAUGCAAGUCGAACGCCCCGCAAGGGGAGUGGCAGACGGGUGAGUAACGCGUGGGAAUCUACCCAGAUCUUCGGAACAACUGAGGGAAACUUCAGCUAAUACCGGAUACGCCCUACGGGGGAAAGAUUUAUCGGUUCUGAAUGAGCCCGCGUUGGAUUAGCUAGUUGGUGGGGUAAUGGCCUACCAAGGCGACGAUCCAUAGCUGGUCUGAGAGGAUGAUCAGCCACACUGGGACUGAGACACGGCCCAGACUCCUACGGGAGGCAGCAGUGGGGAAUAUUGGACAAUGGGCGAAAGCCUGAUCCAGCCAUGCCGCGUGAGUGAUGAAGGCCUUAGGGUUGUAAAGCUCUUUCAGUAGGGAAGAUAAUGACGGUACCUACAGAAGAAGCCCCGGCUAACUUCGUGCCAGCCGCCGCCGUAA